AGUAAUAGAGAAUCAAAACUAAUAACACUACAUUUGGAAGGAUUGAAUUGAAAGUAAGUACCAAAAAUGAGAAAAUUGUGAAAUUACAAAAAUAACCUUAAUUCUAUUUCUCAUAUAACUAUUUCUAUUUCUCUUCCUAUUUCUUUAUUCCCUCUCUCCUUAAACCUUAGCUUACCAAGCGCACCUACCACCACCUUCUUCAGCAUCCGUACCACCUUCUACAAUUGACAAUUCCUUUUUUACCCUCCUUAACUUUUCCCAAUCCCUUCAUUGUCUUUCUUCACAUUCUUCUGACCUCCCCCCUCUACAAUCCAUUCCAGUGUCAACCAUGUCCCUCUCUCGCAACCCAUUUUCUUCUCUACACGAUGGCAAAUGGCAUCUCCUUUGUAUGAGAUGGCAAUGGAUUUGUUUAUAUUAAUCUUCGCGAUUGUACUGACCUAUUUUCUUUAUAACGCGAUGGCACAACACUUCUUUCAUUCUUGGUUUUAAGAACUAACUUUUGCCAAAUUUGUUUUUCAUUUGUAGAAAGAUGAGAGGAUUGUAGAAGAGGGAUGGAUUCGGCAAAGUGAGGCGAAGGAGGUAAAUGGGAUGUUAAAAAAGAAUGGGAAAGAUGAUGAUGAGUUGAAAAGGAUGGAAGAGAAUGGGAGGAAAAGGGUGAGAGAAUGUUGUAGGUUGCGAGAAAAAUGAGGGAGUAAUUGCCGAGAUUGAAGAAGGUGAAGAAGCAAUGGCCAAAGAAUUAAGGAAAAAGGAAGUGCGGCAACGGCGAUGGCAAAGUUGGACAACGAGAAUGAAAACGACGUUGACGGGAAAUGCAAGCUUUCAAGUUCUCAAUAAAUUAAAAAAAAGAAGGGAAUAGUGGGAGCGGAAAAGAAGAUAACGAAAGGGAAGGUUAUUUUUGCAGUUUCAUAAUUUUUCCAACUUUUGAUAAUUACUUUCAGUCUUUCCAUGUGCAGUAGUGAUAUUAAUUUUGAUUCUCUAUUGUUUUGCAAUUAAGUCUUCAGAUUUAUUGGCCAAGGAAAUAUUAGCUAACUCAAAAUAAGCAUAAGACCCUUUCGUCAAAAUAGGUGAAAAUAUUAAAAUGAAUUUUAAAAUCGAACAAUUUUUUUUAUGAAUUUGUGAACAA